rnacentral:rRNA from 1 species
AGAGUUUGAUCCUGGCUCAGAUUGAACGCUGGCGGCAGGCCUAACACAUGCAAGUCGAGCGGAAACGGCAGUAUUGAAGCUUCGGUAGAUUUACUGGACGUCGAGCGGCGGACGGGUGAGUAACGGCUGGGAACCUGCCCUGACGAGGGGGAUAACCGUUGGAAACGACGGCUAAUACCGCAUAAUGUCUACGGACCAAAGGUGGCCUCUACAUGUAAGCUAUCGCGUUGGGAUGGGCCCAGUUAGGAUUAGCUAGUUGGUAAGGUAACGGCUUACCAAGGCGACGAUCCUUAGCUGGUUUGAGAGGAUGAUCAGCCACACUGGGACUGAGACUCGGCCCAGACUCCUACGGGAGGCAGCAGUGGGGAAUAUUGCACAAUGGGGGAGACCCUGAUGCAGCCAUGCCGCGUGUGUGAAGAAGGCCUUCGGGUUGUAAAGCACUUUCAGCAGUGAGGAAGGUAGUGUACUUAAUACGUGCAUUGCUUGACGUUAGCUGCAGAAGAAGCACCGGCUAACUCCGUGCCAGCAGCCGCGGUAAUACGGAGGGUGCGAGCGUUAAUCGGAAUUACUGGGCGUAAAGCGCAUGCAGGCGGUUUGUUAAGUCAGAUGUGAAAGCCCGGGGCUCAACCUCGGAACCGCAUUUGAAACUGGCAGGCUAGAGUCUUGUAGAGGGGGGUAGAAUUUCAGGUGUAGCGGUGAAAUGCGUAGAGAUCUGAAGGAAUACCAGUGGCGAAGGCCGSCCCCCUGGACAAAGACUGACGCUCAGAUGCGAAAGCGUGGGUAGCAAACAGGAUUAGAUACCCUGGUAGUCCACGCCGUAAACGAUGUCUACUUGGAGGCUGAGGUUUUAGACUUUGGCUUUCGGAGCUAACGCAUUAAGUAGACCGCCUGGGGAGUACGGCCGCAAGGUUAAAACUCAAAUGAGUUGACGGGGGCCCGCACAAGCGGUGGAGCAUGUGGUUUAAUUCGAUGCAACGCGAAGAACCUUACCUACUCUUGACAUCCAGCGAAUCCUUUAGAGAUAGAGGAGUGCCUUCGGGAACGCUGAGACAGGUGCCGCAUGGCUGUCGUCAGCUCGUGUUGUGAAAUGUUGGGUUAAGUCCCGCAACGAGCGCAACCCUUAUCCUUGUUUGCCAGCACGUAAAGGUGGGAACUCCAGGGAGACUGCCGGUGAUAAACCGGAGGAAGGUGGGGACGACGUCAAGUCAUCAUGGCCCUUACGAGUAGGGCUACACACGUGCUACAAUGGCAGAUACAGAGGGCAGCGAGACAGCGAUGUUAAGCGAAUCCCUUAAAGUUUGUCGUAGUCCGGAUUGGAGUCUGCAACUCGACUCCAUGAAGUCGGAAUCGCUAGUAAUCGCAGAUCAGAAUGCUGCGGUGAAUACGUUCCCGGGCCUUGUACACACCGCCCGU